rnacentral:rRNA from 1 species
GACGAACCACACAAACGUUAUUCGGAAUUACUGGGCUUAAAGGGCGCGUAGGCGGCGCGGAUAGUCGGCGGUGAAAGCCCGGAGCUCAACUCCGGGUCGGCCGUCGAUACUUCCGGGCUUGAGCACUGUAGAGGCAGAUGGAAUUCCGGGUGUAGCGGUGGAAUGCGUAGAGAUCCGGAAGAACACCGGUGGCGAAGGCGGUCUGCUGGGCAGUUGCUGACGCUGAUGCGCGACAGCGUGGGGAGCAAACAGG